UGGUUCCCUCGCAACGAUUAUCUGCAAACCCCGCCAGGCCCGGAAGGGAGCAACGGUAGUAGUGCCAUCGUGUGCCGAGGUGUGGCU
rnacentral:SRP_RNA from 1 species